AGUUGCCAUGACUAUGGCUGCCAGGUACAAGAGACAAGUGAUUGGCUAUCAGUUCCACCUUGAGGCAGAUUCUUCCUCCCCUCCUCUUCCUUCUGCCACCAACUGCUAAAGUUCAGUGUGUGUGUGUGUGUGUGUGUGUGUGUGUGUGUGUGGCCAGAUGCAGUGAUGCUCAACUGAGAUGUCAGGCAGCAGGGACCCAGUGUACCAAGACCUGGGCGUAGGCUGACCUUCGGUAUAACGCCUUGGCUUUCUGGGUUUCAGGGACAGCUGAUGGUUGGAGAAACAGGCGGGGCACCGGAUGAAAUGACAGUGCCCAGGAACCCAAAGAGGAAGCAAGGAACUUGGACACUUCUCCCUGGGCAGAUGCCAGAUCUGUUGCCUCCAGGAUCUGCCCUUCCCCCUGCAAGCCUGACAGUCCCCGCCCCUUGCCUCUUAUAGCAGGACUUUGCAAACAGUCUUUCCGGAUGGACACUGGACACGGCUGCGCCUCCUCCCUGAACACUUUCCAUUCCCAGACUGAGCCUCAGCCACGGCUCCUCAGGAAAAUUGGCCGAAAGAGACAUUUUCCAUGCUCUUGACUCCUCUGGCCGUGCUGGCACGCUCCAGCAUCUUCUCCCCCUGGUAAACCACGCCCAGAAAGAGGAUGCUGUCCGUCAACCUGCUGUUACUCAUUCACCACUUAGUCUAAAGUCAUUUCAUCUCUCCAGGCCUCAGUGAUCUAAUCUAUGAGUAAACUAUUCAGGCUGC
ensembl:antisense 1700030C14Rik RIKEN cDNA 1700030C14 gene